UACAGGGGGGGCAAGCGUUGUUCGGAAUUACUGGGCGUAAAGGGCGCGUAGGCGGCCAUUCAAGUCGGAGGUGAAAGCCCAGGGCUCAACCCUGGAAUUGCCUUCGAUACUGUUUGGCUGGAGACCGGAAGAGGUAAGUGGAACUGCGAGUGUAGAGGUGAAAUUCGUAGAUAUUCGCAAGAACACCAGUGGCGAAGGCGGCUUACUGGUCCGGUUCUGACGCUGAGGCGCGAAAGCGUGGGGAGCAAACAGG
rnacentral:rRNA from 1 species